CCUAACACAUGCAAGUCGAACGGUAACAGGAAGAAGCUUGCUUCUUUGCUGACGAGUGGCGGACGGGUGAGUAAUGUCUGGGAAACUGCCUGAUGGAGGGGGAUAACUACUGGAAACGGUAGCUAAUACCGCAUAACGUCGCAAGACCAAAGAGGGGGACCUUCGGGCCUCUUGCCAUCAGAUGUGCCCAGAUGGGAUUAGCUAGUAGGUGGGGUAACGGCUCACCUAGGCGACGAUCCCUAGCUGGUCUGAGAGGAUGACCAGCCACACUGGAACUGAGACACGGUCCAGACUCCUACGGGAGGCAGCAGUGGGGAAUAUUGCACAAUGGGCGCAAGCCUGAUGCAGCCAUGCCGCGUGUAUGAAGAAGGCCUUCGGGUUGUAAAGUACUUUCAGCGGGGAGGAAGGGAGUAAAGUUAAUACCUUUGCUCAUUGACGUUACCCGCAGAAGAAGCACCGGCUAACUCCGUGCCAGCAGCCGCGGUAAUACGGAGGGUGCAAGCGUUAAUCGGAAUUACGGGGCGUAAAGCGCACGCAGGCGGUUUGUUAAGUCAGAUGUGAAAUCCCCGGGCUCAACCUGGGAACUGCACCUGAUACUGGCAAGCUUGAGUCUCGUAGAGGGGGGUAGAAUUCCAGGUGUAGCGGUGAAAUGCGUAGAGAUCUGGAGGAAUACCGGUGGCGAAGGCGGCCCCCUGGACGAGACUGACGCUCAGGUGCGAAAGCGUGGGGAGCAAACAGGAUUAGAUACC
rnacentral:rRNA from 1 species